rnacentral:lncRNA from 1 species
AGCCUUUCUCGCUCCCCGCCGCGCCCAUAAAUAGACGUGACCUUUCGGUAAAAACUGGAGACGCGAUGCGGACGGGUGGGGCAGCUCUCACCCCGACCGAUAGGAAAUUCGCCAGGUGUGUGUGUGUGUGUGUGUGUGUGUGUGUGUACGCCUCCGUGAUGUAUGUUUGUGUGUACGAGCUGCAGUGCUGAUUGUAUCUCGUUUGAUUUAUUUGUCCCGCUCUCGGCAGUGGCUGACUGACAGCCGAGUCCCCGUGACCCCUGUGAGGCUCCGGCAUCCAUCACCCCCGUCCCCGCCUUCUGACAUCACCUGAUGUACACACCACUCCUGUCACAGUGUGUGUGUGUGUGUGUGUGUGAAGAGAUUGUGUACAGACCCUUCAAGUCCAUGUAACGCAUCCUGUUAUCUGUGUAAAGAGUGUGUGUAAAUCUGGGCUCCUACAUACACGUGUGUUGGUUUUGUCUGAUCUCAGAUCAGUUGAGAGGUCGCUGUGUUAUCAGUUUCAUCUCCUGUACAUCAGGGCGUCGUCAGCAUCAGUAAUUUGAUCUUUGACCUCAUCACAGUGGACACGGGAGAAAGGUGUGGAGAGUGUAGUCAUGUCCUGUGAUCGUGUUCAUGUCAGGUGUGUGUGUGUGUGUUUAAUAGAGCCUCACACACACAGUGAGGGGUGUGAGUGUAUAUCAGUGUGUUCAGAUUCUCUCAGCAGGGUCUCCUGACACAGAUAAUGGAGGAGACGGUCCCCAGCGCAGGGGAGGCGGGGCUUCGUCCCUCCGCGUGGGGCAGGGGUCUCAGGAGACGCUGGCUGGACAAGAGGCCGAGUCCCGGUGGCUGAUGGGAAAUCUGGUCCAAGCGCGCACAUCAGCACAGAGGUCCCUCACAUUCAUGAUGGAUUGAAGGCACCUGGGGAGCACUGUGUGGGGACGGUACCUUCAUCCAGGGGACCUCAGUGGCACCUUGGCAGUUCAGGAUUCCACCCGGCAACCUUCCGAUCUCAGGUCCCGCUAGCCCACCUAGCGGUGCAUACUGCCCAGAACUCUGCCUGGUUCAAGAAGAACCCAACAGAGGAACCAAGACUUGAGACUCUAACGGUAUUUUUUAUUUUGGGAGAGGAACUGUGGGAUCUGGGAGGGGAGAAGGAGGCUGGAGGGCUUUUAGGGGUUCAGGAAUCCCAGAGGAGAUUAAACCAAUAGGACCACAGGGUUUAAUCUUUUAUUUGCUUUCACUGCAUGAGGCCGAGUGUUCACACACACUCACGCACACACACACCAUGAGGAGCCGUGGGCAGGAAUUUUAAAGCGCCGUUUGGAGGCGGUGCUUGACUUCCUCCCAGAGAUUAGGGCCGACUUGUUUUUCCUGGAAAAGACAAAUGAACGCAGGCCUGAGCUGAGCAUGCCAAGGAAAUUACCCAUGGUGCUUCACUCCGGUGAGAUUACGCCGCUGACUGAUGCCGCCAUGUUCUCUGUCUCUCUCUCUCUCUCUCACGCACAGACACUCGCACAGCCCCACAUACACUCACGUCAUGUUAACACUCGGAAUGCCAUUUG